AAAGAAUUAGUUAAAUUAACAUUAGUUUGUCAAACUAAAAAUAUUAAUUUUAUAAAUUAAUAUUCUUUA
rnacentral:tRNA from 1 species